UACGUAGGUGGCAAGCGUUGUCCGGAUUUAUUGGGUUUAAAGGGUGCGUAGGCGGUCUAUUAAGUCAGCGGUGAAAUACUCCAGCUCAACUGGAGGGGUGCCAUUGAUACUGAUGGACUUGAGUCAAGUCGAGGUAGGCGGAAUUGACGGUGUAGCGGUGAAAUGCAUAGAUAUCGUCAAGAACACCGAUAGCGAAGGCAGCUUACUGGGCUGUAACUGACGCUGAGGCACGAAAGUGUGGGGAGCAAACAGG
rnacentral:rRNA from 1 species